UCCCGCGUCCGUCCACCGCGCCGAUGCCUUCUGCUCCUCCUCCUCCUCACACUCCACUCGCCGCGCCGACCGCCGCCGUCUCCGUCACCUGCUCCUACCGGGAGGACGAUGACGGCGCCGCCUCGUGGUCGCUCUCCUCCGGCGCACGCUCCUCCUCGCUGCCGUCGUCGUCGCGGGGGCGCCGCCCGCCGCCGUACCGGCGGCUCCUCCACGACGAGGCGCGGCGCCUCCGCCAGGAGCGCCGCGGCCAGGGCGCCGGCGCCGAAACGCCCCGGUGGGUGCGCCGCACCGAGGGCCAGAUGGCCCGGUACGUCGAGGACGACCGCGCCGGCCACGUCCACGGCCGCCACGUCGUCGCCGCGGCCCGCGCCGCACGCGCCACCGCGUCCCGCCCGCCCGCCGGCGGGUCCACCAUGCGAGAGGCCAUGGCCUCCUUCGUCGCCAAGCUCACCUUCCGCGAGAUGUGCGUCGUCCUCCGCGAGCAGCGCGGGUGGCGCCAGGCCCACGAUUUCUUCUCGUGGAUGAAGCUCCAGCUGUGCUACGAGCCCAGCGUGGUCGCCUACACCAUCCUCCUCAGGGCGUAUGGCAACGCCAGCAAGAUCGAGCUCGCCGAGGAGGCGUUCCUGGAGAUGCUCGAGGCCGGCGUGGAGCCGGACGCGGUGGCGUGCGGCACCCUGCUGUGCGUGUACGCGCGCCGGGGGAGGCACGGCGACAUGAUGCUCUUCUACGCCGCGACGCGCAGGCGCGGCGUGGCACCGCCCGUCUCCGCCUUCAACUUCAUGCUCUCCUCCCUGCAGAAGCACAGGCUCCACGGCAAGGUGAUCCACCUCUGGAAACACAUGAUGGAAAUGGAAGAAGCCAACAAUGUGGUGCCAAAUCACUUCACAUACACAGUUGUGAUCGGCUCAUUUGUCAAGGCGGGUCUCCUGGAGGAGGCCAUGGAUGUCCUGGGGAAGAUGAGGGCCUCCCGACUCGUCCCGGAGGAGGCGACUUACAGUUGCCUGAUCAGCUUGAGUUCCAGGCAUGGCAGAGGGGAGCAGGUUGUGAUGCUCUAUGAGGAGAUGAGGGCUCAUGGCAUUGUCCCCAGCAACUACACCUGUGCAUCCCUCCUGGCACUCUAUGACAAGAGUGAGGACUACUCGAAGGCGCUCUCGCUCUUCUCAGAGAUGGAGCGAAGCAGGGUUGUCAUUGAUGAGGUCAUCUAUGGGAUCCUCAUUAGGAUCUAUGGUAAGAUCGGGCUCUACGACGAUGCGCAGCGCACUUUCGAGGAAAUCGUCAGUGCGGGUCUUCUGAGUGAUGAACAGACUUAUGUGGCAAUGGCUCAGGUUCACAUGAAUGCUCGCAACUAUGAUAAGGCGUUGCAGGUUUUGGGUUUGAUGAGGUCGAGGAAUGUGAAGCCUUCAAAGUUCUCUUACGGCGCUCUUCUUCGAUGUCAUGUCGCGAGGGAAGACAUAGCUGCAGCAGAAGAUGUCUUCAGAGCUCUGUGCAAAUAUGGCCUCCCUGAUGUGUUCUGCUGCAAUGACCUACUGAGAUUAUAUGUCAAGCUGGGCCAGCUAGAGAAGGCAAGUGCAUUCAUUCUGAAGAUGAGAAAAGAAGAUAUCCAGCUUGAUGAGGCCCUCUGCAUGACUGUAAUGGAAGUUUGCUGCAAAAGCGGGAUGAUCACCGAUGCGGAUAAGAUACUGAAAGAGAUGAACAAUGGUGGAGUGACCAUGAAGAGUUCAACAAUGGUUUCUAUUAUAGAGAUGUAUGCUAGAAACAGAACUAGUGUGAUGCAGGAACAAGAUAGUUCGUCGAAGGCACUAGCCUGUCAGACCGACAGUUCGGCACUGAACGCGACGUUAAAGUCAUUGUUGGACACACCUGGGGGUUCGUCCAUCGCGUGCCAAUUGAUCAGAAAAUUGGCUAGGGAAGGGAGGACAUGUGAGGCAAAAUUCCUUCAUGAACAGCUGACUCAGUUGGGAGUCAAGCCUGAAGAUUCUGCAACAUCUACUCUCAUUGUCCAAUAUGGCCAGGAACAGAAGUUACAUCAAGCAGAGGAACUGUUUGAGUCGGCAUCGACAUCGUUUCCAAUACGAGGGCCUGUCUACAAUGCCAUGGUCGACGCAUUAUGCAAGUGCGGCAAUAUCGGAGAGGCGUAUCAUCUCUUUAUGAAAAUGGCUGAUCAAGGCCAUAGCAGAGAUGUUGUGACAAUUAGCAUACUUGUCACUCACCUGACCAAACAUGGAAAGUUUCAGGAGGUGGAGAACAUCAUGCAUGGCUGCUUCCAUGGUGAAGUUGAGCUUGAUACUGUUGCGUAUAAUACAUUUAUCAAGUCGAUGCUCGAGUCAGGCAAACUAUACUCAGCUGUCAACAUAUAUGAUCGCAUGAUAUCCACUGGGGUUCCUCGGUCCUUGCAGACUUUCAAUAUAAUGAUAAGUGUUUAUGGCCUAGGAGGAAAGCUGGACAAGGCUGCUGAAAUGUUUGCUGCUGCACAGGAGCUAGGCUUACUGAUCGACGAGAAGAUAUACACCAACAUGCUUAACUUCUAUGGAAAGGCUGGGAGGCAUCAGGAGGCGUCUUCACUAUUCGAUAGAAUGAAGGAACUUGGUAUCAUGCCUGGAAAGAUCAGUUGCAACUCCAUGAUCAAUGCCUACGCCACUGCCAGGCUGCAUGAUGAAGCAGAGAUUGUUUUCCAGGAGAUGCAAUCACACGGUCAAGUUCCCGACUCGACGACGUACCUUGCAUUGAUCAGAUCAUACUCAGAAAGUAGAUGCUACUCCAAAGCUGAGAAAGCCAUCCAGAUGAUGUUGACCAGCGGCAUAACCCCUUCAUGCCCUCAUUUUAGCCACCUCAUUUUUGCCUUUCUGAAGGCAGACCAGAUUGAUGAAGCCCAGAGGAUCUGCAGCCAGAUGCAGGAGAUUGGCGUGGCUGUUGAUUUAGCAUGUUGCCGGGCAAUGAUGAGGGCGUACCUUGAGCACGGUCGCGUCGACGAGGGCAUAUCGCUCUUCGAGACAACACGCGGGUCACUGAAACCUGACAGCUUCAUCCUGAGUGCUGCAUUUCAUCUCUAUGAGCAUUCAGGCAGCGAGCCUGAAGCUGGGGAUGUGCUGGAAGCCAUCGGUCUACAUGGUGCCUCUUUUUUGAGAAGUCUAAAGGUUGGAUCAAAGUUGGAACCAACUUAAUAACGACCAUAUCAUGUGCCCAUCAAGCUAGCAACCAUCACAGCAUUUAACAUGUUGCAAAGAAUGAAGACUUAACAGUUCGCCGCCUGAAGCUUUAAGGUGUAUUUUCAACAGCAAAGGAGGAGAAAUAACAAAGCUCAGUAUCCAAGGAAGGAAGAAGCAGCAUCUCAAGUCUGGCAAAGCAAAAGCUCUUAGGCGGAAACUGCGAAAGUUUUGAGAAACAACUUUAACUUUAUCAUCAUUUCCGUAAAUUUUCCAGUAGCAAAUGCACUACAGCUAUAUUGGCAAGGAAUGAAGUCCCAGGUCCUAUCAACCGGGGGAAACUGAUUCUUUGGCCAAUUAUAGAUACCCUGGUCAAUGCUUGUAGCUACCAGAAAAGGACCAUAGGCCCAUGUUAGAUUAACAAAUAAUCAAGAAAAGGGUUUACAAAGACAAACCCAUAAAAUUUCGUCACUGACGGCAAUUCCUAGGGCUCAAGUGCUUAACCCUAUACAAGUAGUAGAAAAUUAAAGAAGAAUAAGAUAUGCAUUGAGCACAACUAAUCAGAAAAUAAAUGACUUCCCAUUCACAGGAUAACAGCACUGUGUCAGAAAGUGUGCUAAGAUUGUUUCAAGGUGAAAAAUCCAUUAAAAAUAGAAGAGAUUGCAAAAGCACAGCAACGACUGCAAUGUCCUUUCAGGCUUGUUUGUCCUCAUCGCAACAAUCUUCUCCAGGAAAAACAAAAGCAAAAAGACAUAAAAGAUACAAAGAUAACAAAACAAAGUCAUAAAAUUUUACCAGUCGUCAAUGCCAUCAGCACAAAACAAAGAAAAAAGACCGUUCUCUGUAUUAAAAAAACAUUGAACUUCGAAGAUGUAGAGAAAGAAAAAAGACCGUUCUAUGUAUUAAAAAAACAUUGAACUUCGAAGAUGUACAGAAGUAAACUAGAACUAAAAAAAGCAGAUGGAUCUCAAAAGAGCCAUCAGCGCAAAAAUUAAAUGACGCCAAUCCAAAGGUCAGUCCAGAAGUGUUCAAAUCGGCACACAGUAUCAGCAACAAGUGCUAAAACAACUGGCUUGCACAAAGUAUAAGCUUGAUUGCUACAAGCAGCAUAAUCCACUGGAUGAUUUAGAUUAAUAUAUUACUUAGACGUGACGUGACCCAUAAUCCACUGAUGUUCCACGAAUGUUUACUCCACGGAAUAACCCUGACCACUCGGACCAAAA